GUAGGGAAUAUUGGGCAAUGGAAGGAAUUCUGACCCAGCCAUGCCGCGUGCAGGAAUACAGUCCUAUGGACUUUAAACUGCUUUUAUUAUAGAGUAACCUGGGGGACGUGUCCCCCACUGCAAGUAUAUAAUGAAUAAGCAUCGGCUAACUCCGUGCCAGCAGCCGCGGUAAUACGGGGGAUGCAAGCGUUAUCCGGAUUUAUUGGGUUUAAAGGGUGCGCAGGCUGAUCGGUAAGUCAUGGGUGAAAAGUCACUGCUUAACAGUGAUCGUGCCUAUGAUAUGGCCGGACUAGAGUUUAAGAGGUGUAACUGGAAUGUGAUGUGUAGCGGUGAAAUGCUUAGAUAUGUCACAGAACGCCAAUCGUGAAGACAGGUUACAAACUUAAUACUGACGCUCAUGCACGAAAGCGUGGGGAUCAAACAGGAUUAGAAACCCCAGUAGUCC
rnacentral:rRNA from 1 species